UACGUAGGCAGCAAGCGUUGUUCGGAAUUACUGGGCGUAAAGGGUGUGUAGGCGGUUGUUUAAGUUUGGUGUGAAAUCUCCCGGCUCAACUGGGAGGGUGCGCCGAAUACUGAAUGACUUGGAGUGCGGGAGAGGAAAGUGGAAUUCCUGGUGUAGCGGUGAAAUGCGUAGAUAUCAGGAGGAACACCGGUGGUGUAGACGGCUUUCUGGACCGUAACUGACGCUGAGACACGAAAGCGUGGGUAGCAAACAGG
rnacentral:rRNA from 1 species